CAGAGUUUACAACUCCCUAAACCAUUGUGAACCUACCUUCUACCGUUGCUUCGGCGGAUCAGGCCCAGCGCCCCCCGUACCCCCGGGACGGCCCGCCGAGGAUACCCUAAACUCUUGUAUUAGUGGAACUCUCUGAGUAUUCUUAAACUAAUAAAGUCA
rnacentral:misc_RNA from 1 species